rnacentral:rRNA from 1 species
UACGAGGGGUGCAAGCGUUGCUCGGAAUUAUUGGGCGUAAAGGGUAGGUAGGUGGUCUCAUUUGUCUGGGGUGAAAGCCUUGAGCUUAACUCAAGAAGUGCCCCGGAAACGGUGAGACUAGAGUCCUGGAGAGGGUCGUGGAAUUCCCGGUGUAGCGGUGAAAUGCGUAGAGAUCGGGAGGAACACCAGAGGCGAAGGCGGCGACCUGGACAGGUACUGACACUAAACUACGAAAGCGUGGGGAGCAAACAGG